rnacentral:rRNA from 1 species
GAUGAACGCUGGCGGCGUGCCUAAUACAUGCAAGUCGAGCGAACAGACGAGGAGCUUGCUCCUCUGACGUUAGCGGCGGACGGGUGAGUAACACGUGGAUAACCUACCUAUAAGACUGGGAUAACUUCGGGAAACCGGAGCUAAUACCGGAUAACAUGUUGAACCGCAUGGUUUAACAGUGAAAGAUGGUCUUGCUGUCACUUAUAGAUGGAUCUGCGCCGCAUUAGCUAGUUGGUAAGGUAACGGCUUACCAAGGCAACGAUGCGUAGCCGACCUGAGAGGGUGAUCGGCCACACUGGAACUGAGACACGGUCCAGACUCCUACGGGAGGCAGCAGUAGGGAAUCUUUCGCAAUGGGCGAAAGCCUGACGGAGCAACGCCGCGUGAGUGAAGAAGGUCUUCGGAUCGUAAAACUCUGUUAUUAGGGAAGAACAAAUGUGUAAGUAACUAUGCACGUCUUGACGGUACCUAAUCAGAAAGCCACGGCUAACUACGUG